rnacentral:rRNA from 1 species
CCUACGGGUGGCAGCAGUGAGGAAUAUUGGUCAAUGGGCGCGAGCCUGAACCAGCCCAGUAGCGUGAAGGAUGACUGCCCUACGGGUUGUAAACUUCUUUUAUAAAGGAAUAAAGUGAGGCACGUGUGCCUUUUUGUAUUUACUUUGUGAAUAAGGAUCGGCUAACUCCGUUCCAGCAGCCGCGGUAAUACGGAGGAUCCGAUCGUUAUCCGUAUUUAUUGGGUUUAAAGGGAGCGUAGAUUGGUUGUUAAGUCAGUUGUGAAAGUUUGCGGCUCAACCGUCAAAUUGCAAUUGAUACUGGCAGCCUUGAGUACAGUGGAGGUAGGCGGAAUUCGUGGUGUAGCGGUGAAAUGCUUAGAUAUCACGAAGAACUCCGAUUGCGAAGGCAGCUUACUAAACUGCCACUGACAUUGAUGCUCGAAAGUGUGGGUAUCAAACAGGAUUAGAUACCCGAGUAGUC